AUUGAACGCUGGCGGCAGGCCUAACACAUGCAAGUCGAACGGUAACAGGAAACAGCUUGCUGUUUCGCUGACGAGUGGCGGACGGGUGAGUAAUGUCUGGGAAACUGCCUGAUGGAGGGGGAUAACUACUGGAAACGGUAGCUAAUACCGCAUAACGUCGCAAGACCAAAGAGGGGGACCUUCGGGCCUCUUGCCAUCGGAUGUGCCCAGAUGGGAUUAGCUAGUAGGUGGGGUAACGGCUCACCUAGGCGACGAUCCCUAGCUGGUCUGAGAGGAUGACCACCCACACUGGAACUGAGACACGGUCCAGACUCCUACGGGAGGCAGCAGUGGGGAAUAUUGCACAAUGGGCGCAAGCCUGAUGCAGCCAUGCCGCGUGUAUGAAGAAGGCCUUCGGGUUGUAAAGUACUUUCAGCGGGGAGGAAGGGAGUAAAGUUAAUACCUUUACUCAUUGACGUUACCCGCAGAAGAAGCACCGGCUAACUCCGUG
rnacentral:rRNA from 1 species